UGUAAUACCCAGUUGGGUAAAAAACAAAAAAACAAUACGGGACACCUCAGCUGGUGAGGUGUCAGGACGGGCUAGGUGGUUUGGCCACGUGUGUGUACACAUGGCGAGAUCUGAAAAUGUAGGGUCCAAAUUUAUCUUGCAGAUUUGACGGCUCCCAAAAACCCAUAUAAGAGCUUCAUUUUCAGCUCUUAGAGAGGAAAGAAGAACCCUAGCUGCCAGGGAAGGCCAAACGGUAUCGGGGUCGAGAGAGUAGAGUGAGGGGAGAAGCCUUGGCCACGUGAGGAAGAGGAGUGAGUGGUAG
rnacentral:lncRNA from 1 species